rnacentral:lncRNA from 1 species
GAAAAAAGAAAAGACUUUAUCAUCCCUACUAUUUUCAUUAGUCCCAUCUACAUCUUUUUCAUUUUACCUCAGGGAAAAAAUCCCUUGUGUGUGUCAUCUGUUUCCUGCCUGGGCCCUGCCUCAUACAAGCAGAGCAAGGAGCUCUCCUAGAACUAGAGAAGAGAUAGUGCCAUUUCCAUUGAAUCUGGGCUUUUCACCCCCUCAGUUCAAAAUUAACAGACACCAGGAGGCAUUGACCAUGGAGUGGGACAUCUGGCCUCAUCCCUAACCUUCAACACCCGCUUCCUGUGCACUAGAACAGAUAGCGAGAGGAAUCUUAAGGUAAACUCCCGAAAUGCAAGGAAUUGUUACAUCUGGGUUAAAGGGAACUGACUUGU